rnacentral:rRNA from 1 species
UGGGGAAUAUUGCACAAUGGGCGAAAGCCUGAUGCAGCAACGCCGCGUGAGCGAAGAAGGUCUUCGGAUCGUAAAGCUCUGUCCUUGGGGAAGAUAAUGACGGUACCCUUGGAGGAAGCCCCGGCUAACUACGUGCCAGCAGCCGCGGUAAUACGUAGGGGGCAAGCGUUAUCCGGAAUUAUUGGGUGUAAAGGGCGCGUAGGCGGGGAUACAAGUCAGGUGUGAAAUCUAUGGGCUUAACCCAUAAACUGCACUUGAAACUGUAUCUCUUGAGUGUCGGAGAGGUAGACGGAAUUCCUAGUGUAGCGGUGAAAUGCGUAGAUAUAAGGAAGAACACCAGUGGCGAAGGCGGAUUACUGGACGACAACUGACGGUGAGGCGCGAAAGCGUGGGGAGCAAACAGGAUUAGAUACCCUGGUAGU